AGAUGUCAGUAAGAGACAAGGAUACUGGGAAAAACCCCGAGCGGGUGGGCAGGAAGCGAGGUCAGGGGCACAAGGACAGCUGAGCACAGGGACAGGCGGUGACUGAAUGUUCUGUUUUGGAAAGACGGCUCUGGUCAGGGGCGAAGGUGGCUGACCACGAAACCCGAUAACCUGGCCAAACACUGCUGCAGCCAGCCCUCUGGCCACAAGCCCCGUGACCAGUGGGUGCCGUGCAGAAUUUUCCCGGAGGGAGGGGAAGAAGGGGGAAAACGGCCCACGGGCAGCUUGUCCUCGGCAAGUGGGCCCAACACGAAGGGGUUGGAAAUGAAGGAAGAGCGAGUUCUCAAGUGAGACCUCAGUGCGGCUUGUCUCUACACGCUCUUCGAAAAGGGUCAACGCAUCCCGAGGCCCUUACUGUGUGCCAGGCAUUCAGUCCCCGCUCACUGUCUCCAGCAGAGCAUUCUGGUUCAAGACCAUGGACUCUGGAGCCAGACCACCUGAGUCUGAACGCUGGUUUUGCAAACUCCUCGCCCUGUGACCCUGCCAGGCUCCAGGGCCCCCGAGCACCUACGAUGUGCUGGGUCCUGCACUCCUUCUGUCCUGGAAGGCAGCAGUGGGCAGCUAGAGAGGGAGCGAGCCCUCCUGGUGCACAACUUUAGACCUAACAACAGCCUUCCGGUGCAGGCAAUAUCAACCCAUUUCACAGAGGUGGAAACUGAGGUCUGGAGAGGCAACUAGGACCUGAACCUCUCUCACACACUUGGCUGUGUCCCCUGCCUUGGAAUCUCCAGCUGGCCCAGAGCUCACCUCAGAAAUGUUGGGUGUACCAGACAGAAACUGCAAACCCGAAGGGUUGUGCUGUCCCCAAAUUAACCUUCCCCAUCCGUGGCUUCCUUAUCCUAUGCCAGCCAGCUGGAGGAAAUCGAUGCGGCCAUCAAGUCCCUGAGCACUCCCCUCACCACCAAGGCAAGAGGCAGGUGACAUGUGCAGAAAGGGACAGAAGGGGGUCUCGGGGUCCAGAGGCCAGGUGCUCAUGCCUGGCCGUGUGACUUUGGACAUGGCGCUUCCUCUCUCUGAACCUCAGUCUCCUUGUCUAUAGAAUGGGCACAAUCAUAGAAUCCGCCCCUUCGGCUGAUAUGCAGAACAGAGACAGCAUGGGGACAGCAUGAGGCACGGGGCAGGUGCCCAGAACAUGACAACCGUCCUUACUACGUGGAAGGGGUGGCUGAAACUCUUUCCCCCAACCCGAGUCCCUCAAGCCCAGUUUGGCUUCUUACCGUCAGUGGUGAGCUCCUCAUGAGACAGUAGAGUGGUUAAAAGCACGAGCCUUGGACUUGACUGCCUGGGGUCAAAUCCUGCCUUUGCAGCUUGCCUCCUGUGUGAUCCCAGGCAAGUGAUUUCACCUCGAUGGGCCUCAGUUUCCCCAACCAUGAAUAGAUGUGAUAACAGUU